UGCCUCCAAAACGCGACGACGCGCCUCCUCGAGAACUGAAAAUCCGUAACGGCCGUAUCUACCACCACACCCGCCCCCUCCCCCUCCCCCAAAUCGCUCGGAGAAACUAGGGUUUACCACCGGAGGAGCCGGCGGAGGCUAUGGCCGGCGGGGAGGAGAGGCCGCCGGGGUUGGCGCCAGUGGCUGCGUCAUCGAGUUUCGAAUUCGCCCUCAAUUAUGCGGCGUUUUCCGAUCGAAUUCUGCGACUUGAAAUCCCGGCCGAGGAUUCCGAGGCGCGGUUCGUCGGCGAAGGAUCGCCCUGCGACUCGCCGCGUAGCAUAUUCGAGACGGGGCCCGGCUUGGGAGGUACCUCGGCCGAGUCGGUGCGACCUCGCAAGCGCCGCAGACAAGACGACGAAUCUGUACCUCACAGCUCUGAAGCUGAGUUUGGAUCAACAGACGUAAAUGCUCUAUCCAUCAGUCCUGAACAUGGUGAUGCCACUGAUACACCCUGUCUAAGAGUAAAGCAUAUUCAUGUUAGCUCCUUGUUACUUGCUUCGAAAAGCCCCUACUUCUACUAGCUCUUCACGAACGGAAUGCAAGAGUCGAAACUGAAGGAAAUAACACUGAGGAUUGCGGACUAUGAGGACGAAGCCCUGCCAGAGCUGCUGCACUUUAUUUACAGUGGAAUGUUUAAGACAAGCGAUCCUGUUCUGCUUCUGAAAGUGAUGCGCGUUGCUGAUAAAUUUGAAGUUGUCCACUGCAUGAGCUAUUGCAGCCAGCUGUUGAUUAGUCUGCCGAUGACAAAGGAGUUAGCUCUCUUGUACCUUGAUUACAAUCACUCGGUCUCGAUAUCAAACGCUCUUCAGCCUGUGAAGAUAGCAGCUCAGGAAUUUUUGGCUGACAAGUCUGAAGCUGAGGUUUUGGAUAUGCCUCUCUCAGGGAUCAGAGCUAUAUUCUCGAGCAAUAAUUUGGAGGUGUUGGAGGAGGACUUCGUCUGGGAUUUCCUGCUGAAAUGGGCUCAUGCAAAGUAUCCAGAAUCUGCAGAAAGGCAUAGGAUCUUGAUCAAAUCUUUAGUGCCAUUAAUACGUUUGAACCAGAUGAGUUGUGGGAAACUUCUGUCACUUUUGUCUUGCUAGGAUUUGGGCACUCUUCAUUCUGCACGCAUUGUGAUCUCUGCCCUGCUAUACAAGUACAGUUCUGCACACAGAGCUCUUCCUGCUACAUCAUACUUCCAUUGCAGAUUCUUGGAGAGGACAUACAAGUUAAGACCUGUGAAGACGAUUGGCUUUGAGCGGCCCCACAAGCAACGUAUUGCCUACAUGGAUCUCAAGUCCGAAGAAUGCACCGGUCUUUUUCCGUCUGGACAUAUCAGGUCUCAACCAUUCCACUUUGCAGGACACUCGUUUUUCCUCCUUGUGGCAUGCAAUCUUAAUGCUCAACUAGGGAUUCACAGUUUUGGACUAUACUUGGGAGUUGAAAAGGAAAUAUCUCUGCCAAUAACCAUUGAGUAUGAAUUUGCAACGAGAACCAGACCUGCAGGUAACUUUGUGUUUAACCGCAGACAAGCCAAUACCUUCACAAGUGAAAACCAUCUACCAGCGGGAUUCCCAAAUGUGUUUAACAUGUCCUGGGAUCAGUUCGCUGCUGAAGCAAGUCCAUUGUUUGUUGACAACAUGUUGUAUCUACGAGUUCAACUGACAGCAAUGCAACUUUAGUCCCAGGCCCCACCAAAUGAUAGUUCUUGACUUUACACCUCAGUUGGUUCCAGAGCACGGCUGACAGCGGAGUUUGAUGCUGAAUUGGACAGAAGUACAGCUUCCCCUGGGACACUAGUGUCAAUGCGUCCACAAUUUUACUGUAGAGUGAUGGCUUGACCACGACUGGCGGUUUACCUUCGUUUCUCUGAACAUUUCGGACAGUAGAGUGUGUACAGCUUCCUCCAGAAUAGUACAGUAGCUCUGUUGAGGAAAGGUGCCAAGUGAUGCACUCUUGUUCGCCACUUCACAUUUGGAGUGCUAGGAAACGAUGAUGUUUGUUGUACAGCGUUGUAUAGCGGUUUUGGAGUCUCGGAGAAAUUAAACUCGAUCUCUUUUUUCUUUCUUUUUGGCGGGAAAAAUUAAACUCGAUCUCGCUUUCAGGAAAAAUUUGUGCUGAAAGUGCCGAUAUUCCCUGCCUUCAGUUGUUGAUUGCUGCAUUCUUCAAUACCAUCUUCCUCACUUCC